AGGAUGAACGCUGGCGGCGUGCCUAACACAUGCAAGUCGAACGUCCUGUCUCGCAAGAGGCAGGGAGUGGCGGACGGGUGAGUACCACGUGGGUCAUCUACCGUGAGGUGAGGAAUACCGGCGAGAAAUCGCCGACAAGACCGCAUAGGCUCGAUGCAAGUCGAGCAAAGCUCUUUCGAGAGAGGGAGCGCCACACGAGGAGCCUGCGCCCGAUUAGCUAGCUGGUGGAGUAACGGUUCACCAGGGCGACGAUCGGUAGCUGGUCUGAGAGGACGAUCAGCCACACUGGGAUUGAGAACGGCCCAGACUCCUACGGGGGGGCAGCAGUGAGGAAUUUUCGUCAAUGGGGGCAACCCUGAACGAGCAACGCCGCGUGCAGGAAGAAGGUUUUCGGAUCGUAAACUGCUUUUCUCGGGGAAGAGAAUGGACGGUACCCGAGGAAUCAGCCCCGGCUAACCUACGUGCCAGCAGCCGCGGU
rnacentral:rRNA from 1 species